GCCUCGGUGGUGUAACGGUAGCACGCGCCCCCGGUAGCGGGGAAAUACGGGUUCAACUCCAGCCUGAGGUU